rnacentral:lncRNA from 1 species
GUUAAAUAUCCACACCGGAGUUUUGUGAAUAACUGAUGUUUAAAUUAUUGAGAUGUAAAAAGUAUGCAUUGAAGGUGGAUUGAGGGGCGUGUCGUUACAGAAACCUUACCUUUCACAUCUUAUCUUCAGAACCCUGUCCCCACCCCCACCCCAACCCUUUACUUAUUUGCAUACAUGUUUUCAUAGAACCUUGUAGUCUGAUAUUUAACUCCAUGAAGACUCGUCGGUAUAAAUCUCCUUGUUGUAUGCUCACCACUGGCUUUGAUUUAUAUUGUUUCUUUUUUUUGAGCAGCAUGCAUCACGCUGGGCAGAAUUCCAUCUUGGCUGUCUUCUCUGCUCCUUUCUCAUUUUGCUGGAAUCCUCAUCCAGGCUUCUCUGAUAGUCCUGGGAAAGUGCUUACGUUUGGCGUUUGCCUAGAACAGGAGCCAGGGGUUCUAGGACAUGUGAUCUUCUGAGCACCCUAAAAAUUAAUGCAUUCUCAAAAUGUCUUCUGGUCUAUCAUCAAAGCCGGUUUUAAAUAUGUUGAAGUUUUUUAUAUGAAAUAUAAAAUAUUUUCUACUGUAUGAUCUCAGAUGCUACAUCUACGAGAACACCUUUUUGUAAGCAGUGAACAUGUGCAUCUCUGUAAGAAUUUAAUGAUUCUUAGUUUGGGCUGAUUAUGAUUCUCAUGUUUGUAUGCAUUCUGCUCCAAAAAUUUUUGUACUCUUGCAACUAAUUACUGCAACCAAUUUGGAUGACAAAAAGCCUUGUGUUUUGCUCCCUAACAUCUUUGAGGGUUUCCUCAUGAGAGGACAGGAGGGCCGCUGAAUCACCUACCUCUCCUUGCUGUUGUCCAAGAGUACGGGUACAACCCCUCAAUUACUUAAAAACUACCACCAAGGGGAGAGGGCAAGAUCUAGAUUGGAAAAUUGAUUGGAAAAUACUCUGUUAGAUGUAGCCCCCCCCCAAUCUGCAUGAUCUCUCAAUAUGACUAUGAUAGAAGCCAUCUAUUCAGAAUCUAACUGAGCCCAUGAAACUGACAUCUAUCUCAUAGGCUGCCUUGUGACCCCUGGAAUACGUCAUGUUCCUCCUGACAAAGAGCUUUGUGUUUGGCCCUUUUUUUUAAUCAUGCGUAUUGUUGAAUAAAUAAAAUAGAUUGACUUACACUGGGGAAGUGGACAUUGUAGCAUGUUUUUCUCUCAUAAGUCUAGGCAUUAUGAAACCACCUCUUUUUAGACAUAGCUGUCAAAUAAUCCAUUAACUGCAUCU